rnacentral:tRNA from 4 species
GCCCUAGUAGCUUAUA